rnacentral:rRNA from 1 species
GAUGAACGCUGGCGGCGUGCCUAAUACAUGCAAGUCGAGCGAACAGACGAGGAGCUUGCUCCUCUGACGUUAGCGGCGGACGGGGGAGUAACACGUGGAUAACCUCCCUAUAAGACUGGGAUAACUUCGGGAAACCGGAGCUAAUACCGGAUAAUAUAUUGAACCGCAUGGUUCAAUAGUGAAAGACGGUUUUGCUGUCACUUAUAGAUGGAUCCGCGCCGCAUUAGCUAGUUGGUAAGGUAACGGCUUACCAAGGCAACGAUGCGUAGCCGACCUGAGAGGAUGAUCGGCCACACGGGAACUGAGACACGGUCCAGACUCCUACGGGAGGCAGCAGUAGGGAAUCUUCCGCAAUGGGCGAAAGCCUGACGGAGCAACGCCGCGUGAGUGAUGAAGGUCUUCGGAUCGGAAAACUCUGUUAUGAGGGAAGAACAAAUGUGUAAGUAACUAUGCACGUCUUGACGGUACCUAAUCAGAAAGCCACGGCUAACUACGUG